rnacentral:rRNA from 1 species
UGCCAGCAGCCGCGGUAAUACAGAGGGUGCAAACGUUGCUCGGAAUUAUUGGGCGUAAAGCGCAUGUAGGCGGUCUUGUAAGUCGAUUGUGAAAGCCCAUGGCUCAACCAUGGAAGUGCAACCGAUACUGCAAGACUAGAGUCCCGGAGAGGGUGGCGGAACUCCCAGUGUAGAGGUGAAAUUCGUAGAUAUUGGGAAGAACACCGGUGGCGGAGGCAUCUCUCUGGGCCGAUAUUGACGCUGAGGCGCGAAGGCGUGGGUAGCGAACGGGAUUAGAUA